ACUACUUUAGCUUGUGGGAUCCGGUGGCGGUUCUAGUUCUUAUACCAAAUCAUACACACGAGAUCUAGUCAUAUUUGACUCUAAAAACGCUAACCAAGCUUCUUAUUGCUUCUCAAAGCUUUGUGGGUGUGCCCAAAGUCCAAUGAGUUUUCAGUUUUGGAGCUUUUAAACGGAGAAAGACUACUUUAGCUUUUGGGAUCCAGUUGCGGUUCUGGUUCUUAUACCAAAUCAUACAAACGAGAUCUAGUCAUAUUUGACUCUAAAAAGGCUAACCAAGCUUCUUAUUGCUUCAUAAACCUUUGUGGGUGUGGCCAAAGUCCUAUGAGUUUUCAGUUUUGGAGCUUCUAAACAGAGAAACACUACUUUAGCUUGUGGGCUCCGGUGGCGGUUCUAGUUCUUAUACCAAAUCAUACACACGAGAUCUCGUCAUAUUUGACUCUAAAAACGCUAACCAAGCUUCUUAUUGCUUCUCAAAGCUUUGUGGGUGUGGCCAAAGUCCUAUGAGUUUUCAGUUUUGGAGCUUCUAAACAAAGAAACAC
rnacentral:lncRNA from 1 species